rnacentral:rRNA from 1 species
GAUCAUGGCUCAGGAUGAACGCUAGCUACAGGCUUAACACAUGCAAGUCGAGGGGUUUGCUUCGGCAAACGACCGGCGAACGGGUGAGUAACGCGUAUCCAACCUGCCUCUCUCAUUGGGAUAGCCCUCCGAAAGGAGGAUUAAUACCGAAUAACAUAAUGUGUUUGCAUGAAUUCAUUAUGAAAGUUCCGGCGGUUAGAGAUGGACAUGCGUUGUAUUAGCUAGAUGGUGAGGUAACGGCUCACCAAGGCGACGAUACAUAGGGGGACUGAGAGGUUAACCCCCCACAUUGGUACUGAGACACGGACCAAACUCCUACGGGAGGCAGCAGUGAGGAAUAUUGGUCAAUGGACGCAAGUCUGAACCAGCCAUGCCACGUGCAGGAUGACGGCUCUAUGAGUUGUAAACUGCUUUUGUAUGAGGGUAAAAUUAGGUACGUGUAUCUAACUGCAAGUAUCAUACGAAUAAGGAUCGGCUAACUCCGUG